ACACGCCCGGGAAGCGGCCGCCGCGGAGCCGGCGUCCGCAGCGGCUGCGCAUCUCGGGCCUGCAGCGGGGCGCUUGGCGGGCGGGGGCCGGGGGAGAGCCUGUUUGCGCAGUACCCCCGGAGGGCGGAAGGCCGCCGAGAGAAACAGCAAGUGACAGAGCAGAGGAACGGCUGGCCCAGCCAAUCCUGGAGCUGCUGUUGCAGCACUUGUUCCCCAAACAAGUGCUCCUACAUUCUGGUAGGAGGACAGAGAGGAGGGGGCUACUGGUCCACACCCCUCCCCUGCCGAGGACCCCAUGGCUGCUCCCCUGCAGGAAAGGCAGCUAGGCUGCCUUAGGCCGGAUGGGCAGAGGCUGCCAUGGCCCAGGGUGGUGACGGUUUUGCGGCCCCUCCCUGCUGCCCAGAGUGGGAAGAAGAGCGCAGAGCCUGGCAAGUUUCUCUCUGUGUCCUCUGGGCUGGAAGGAGCAGGUAUAGACAGGGCCGAGGCAGCCAGGGCCUGGUGCUGCUUUGGCAUUGGUGGCAGGAGGGCUGAACCUCCAGCCCCUUGGGUUUGGUUCCACCCCUGGCCUGUCCCUGGCACUCGACAACUGCUCCUGUGUGCUUAUUGGUGCCACCAUGUUAUAUAACGCUUAUAUAAUCUUCCAGGGCGAGCACUGUGUCUCCGCUCUCAGGUCACGCAGACACGGUGUCCGUGUGGGAGGCAGGAUCUGUGGAAGCCUGUGGGUGAACCUACUCCCCCGAUCCCCAACCUGGCUCCUUCUCCUGAUCUCAGCCAUAGGAGGGGGGCUGGGAGAGCCAGGUCCCUCUCCACACCAGCUGUGUGGGAUGAGAACACGGUUGGCUGGGCAGUUUUCCUCACCUUCCUGCCCCACUAGUCCCACUUGCCCUGUCUGGUAGAGCAGAAGCCAUCCUUGUGCUUUGAUACCAGCUCUUUGUUUUGGGGGACCCCUGGCAUGGCAGGUGGCAUGGCGAGAUGAACCCCAAAAUGUUGCAGUGGAAGAACACAUGGUACUUAGGGUUGGAUAAAGAGAGGGAGAAAUUAGCUCUGCCUUUGAGGAGCAAGGGUAACUAGAAGGAUGGUGGUGGCAUUAUAAGAGAUUUGGAGCAGGCCUGGGGCUAGGGGAUGGUCAGGGAAGGGUGUACAGGGAAGUAGAUCAGACAGCAAAGAUAAACAUGGUGUUCUUUUACUGUACUCUCCACUGGGCUGUCCCUGGUUACCGGGGCAACAGAAGCAGUGAUGAAAAUCAUGCCUUUCGUUCAGUGGAAAAAUUUGGCUCCUCCUCCCGGCUCUUCCUUCUCUAAAUCGCCUGUGACCCAUUGAGAGGGUUAUGCUUCCAAGGAUCAGAGAGAGACCCCAGCAUGUUUUCAUCAUGCUCCCCUUUCCCCAGUCUUCUUUAUCAUCUCCCCUCUUCCUGCAUCCCCUGUCUCCCCCCACAGCUCGGCAGUUGGCAGUUGCGUAGGAGUUGGAGUAGAUGCAGGGGGAAGGGCAUGGACGUCAUCACAGGGCAGGGUGAGCAGAGCGUGGGCAGAGAUGUGGAUGCAGGAAUGCCUGGCACAUGAGGAGGGUCCAGCAUUGAUGAGCUAGAUGGAGCCAAAAGCCUGUUUCUGGGCUGGUAGGAGCUGAGGUGGGCAGGGUGAGAUGAUGGUGGGCCUUCAGAGUUCAGCAGUCUGGGUUCGAGGGAGUAGGAACUAGGAAGGGCCUGAGGUUUCUUGUGCAGAUAUCUUGUGAUGAAAACUACCAAACCGUAUCCCUUUUUGAAGUUAAGAUUUUUGUUUAAGUUUUUUCUUUCAUCUUGUGAUGAAAACCGUGAUUCAUUCAUUCAGCAUUUAUUGUGUGCCCCCCAUAUUAGGUGAGGUUCUGGGAACUGGGAAGCCGAAGGUGAGUAGCACUGGACCUUGACCUUGAAGAGACUGUGGUGAAUGAAAGGAGGAUGAGUAUAUGGGGGAAGAUCUGGCAUUGUUGCAAGCCUGGAAUCUGGGGUCCCCAGCAGGAGACUAGCAACAUACCAGAUCGGAGGUGAUAGGUUAGGGUGGAGCCUGUGGAAAUGAAGAAGAAGAGAUAAUUUGGAGUGCUACUCUGGCUUGAGGACAGGACGUGGGGAAGAGAAAGUGCUGAAAUUUUGAACCUUAGUGAUUUAUAGAAAUAGAAACAUUAGAGUUCAAACUUGUUUUGGGGAGUCAUGUUUGAUUUUCUUUUAGACAUGUUGCCUUCAAGAUGAUGGCAGGGUAUCCAAAUAAAAAUGUUUAUGGUCAGGCAAGUAAAAUAUGCAAUGGAAGUCAGUUCUGGGAAAAGAUUUGAAGGAUAUUGGAUUAUGAAGCUUGAAGGUGGGUAGAGGUAGAUCCUAGGGCCUGGGGCAUUACCUGGAAUUGAGUGAGGCUGUAUGCCUUGUACUGGUUUAUUAUCCCAGGGCUUGCCCAGACCCUGGACAUUUCUGCUAACAAAAACCCACAUCUUCUACCAAACCAUAUCCCUUUUUAAAGUUAGGAUUUUUGUUUAAGUUUUCCUCUCCCUAGUAACUAUGUCCAGGUAUACCUGGAAAAACACACACACACACACACACACACACACACACACACACACACACACACGCAUGCACUUAUUUCCCCCAAGGUCUUGUGCCAUUUGCUUAUAGCUCGGGGACGUGCUGUAGAAAUGUGCCACAAGUCUUUGGCCUCUUCUAGCAAGCUGUUUAUCACCCUGGAGGAGUAAGAGCACUGGACAGAGUCAGGAGACUUUUGCUAGCUACGUGAUCUUGGACACACCACUUCCUUUUCCAGGCCUAAGUGUCUAGUCUUAGGGAUCUAGCUUCUUCCAGUUCUGAAGCCCUCUGAUUUGAUGUCUGGAAAGCUUUUUCCACCUUUGCCCAGGUUUCUGAUGCAGACCAGGCUUUUUGAACAAGUAGCCUAGAUUUCUUAGUACCUUGUGGGAGGGACUAGUAGGGAUGGAGGCCUAGUCCCCAGAGUGGGUCCCUGUCUUCAGUGUGGAUAGGAGCCCUCCGGGUGGAUGGGAGCCUCUGUUCCUCUUUGGAGCAUGGAAAUACUGGAAGAGCAGGUUUUCCCAAUGACCAGGGAUUGCAAACUGUGGCCCGUGGGCCGGAUUCCUGUUUUUGUAAAUAAAGUUUCACUGGAACAGAGACACGCCCGUUGUUUGUGUAUUGUCUGAGGCUGGUUUCAUGCUACAAGGGCAUAGUUGAGUAACUGCAAGGGAGCCUGUAUGCCCCAUAAGCCUAAAAUAUUUACUAUCUUGCCCUUUAGGAUAAAAGAUAAAAACUUGUCAACCCCUGCUGUAGACUACCAGAAAAGUGCUUGGCCUUUUACUGAGGAUGCUUAUGAUGGCUAUUUCAGAUUUCUAGGGUUCUUAAAGAUUCUGCAUUGGGCCUGUCUUUGUGAUCCCAUGAGAGGAUGAUCUGGUAGUUGAAAUAGUAGAUUAUUAGAGUCAGCUCAAAAAUAGUCACUCUGUAUCUAGGAAAGCUCUUUCAUUUUCAGCCUUUUCCCUGGAGCCUGGAGGCCUGAGUUCCUCAGCAGGACUGGGUUUGACAAGCUACUGUCCCUCUCAUUCUGAUUUCCCUGGGCAGUACAGAGGAUAUACUGGACUGACCCAAGUGUUGGGUCAAGGAUAUACUGGACUGACCCAAGCCCAGUGUUGAGUGAGGAGAAAGGAGGCUCAUUGGUUCCGCCUGUCCUGUAGGAUCUUUCCCCUGAUAUCUCUAUUGUUUCUGAUCUUACUGGCACCUUUAGUGCCAAGGUCCUGGAGAUGCCGCCACAGAGAGAGCCUGCAACCCAGCCUGGCAUGUCUGUCUGAACCUGGCACUCAUCCACUCUGUCAGAAUAAGGCCCUGGGCUUGGCGUUUGUGGGACAUGUGUCUGUGUUGGCUUGGGACUGGAAUCAGCAUUCAUUAUUCCUGCAGCCAACCUUCAUGGAGUCCUUCUGUGUCCUAGUUUCCACCUUUUUGACCUGGUCCUCAAGCCAGAGUCUUGCUGAAACUCCUAGCUAGGAACAGGGCUAAAGUUCUCGCUGCUGCAGAACAGCAGCAGCCCAGCAGUUGGGGCAGUUCUGCUCAGAUAGGAAGUGAGACACGUUGGUAGCAGGAGGAAACCACUUGCUGGAAGUAGCAGGGGGAACGGAGGUGACUGAGGUUGAUUCUCGUUACACUUGAUAGGGAGGAGGCCAGCAGCAGGAGGAGGGAGCAGACAAUCCAUAAUAGCAAAGAAGACAGAAGUCGAGCACACCUAGAGCUGCUUUUAGCUGGUAAUGGUAACUCUGGCUCUAGGAGCAUUCCUUCAUACCUCCCCGACACAGUUUCCCCAGAGGCUGUUAUAAAGAAAACAUUCUCUCUUAAAUAUCUUUUCAUUUGUAGGGUUUAGGGUGACCCCAUACUAUAUGGUCUUAAACUUAUGUUGAGACAACUGCACUGACUUGGAUAAAUAAAUAUCAUUUAUCAGAUAUUUAUUAAAGAUCUAUUAUAUGGCAGGCGCUGUGUGAAGUUCUCAGGAUACAGAGGUAAAUAAAAGAUUCACAGUUUGAUCUGGAAGGUUUAUGGGCAGCUGAACCAAUUUUAAUUCCAUCUGCACUGGAUCACAUGCUUCAAGAGAGCAUGUCUGUAUCUGUCUUGUCCUUUGCUGUCACCCCAGUGCUGAGUGGAGAGCUUGGCACACAAUAGGCCUCAGAUAUUUAUUGGCUGACCCAUCCUUGUUUGAUCUGUCCUGGAAAUGUGCAGGAGGAAUCUGAGUGGGUAAGUGGAGGAAGAGAGGUGCUUAACGCAGCAAGUGUGACAAAUUUGGGGGAAGAUGGACAUACUUGGAUGUAUGACGAUGAGUGCCUUUAAGUGACUGCCUUUAAGGAAAAGAGAAGGGUUAAAGCUGUAUGGGCAUGACAGAAUCCAUUGGCAUUAGGGCCAUGAGAAGGAAGGAAUAUAACCUGGCUACAAAGGUGGGUUAGAGGUAGUCAGGAUCAUUGGGUAUAGCAGAGGGCCACCAGAAUUGUGAAGAACUAACCAGCGGCAGAGAAGGGAAGAGUGGAAGGAGAGUAGGAGCCAUUGUGAGAGGAAACAUGGAGACCUCUUCAGGCCUAGGAUGAAAGCAGAAAUGACACAAGUGAGUCUCAGAUGAACAUGAUGGCAGGGAUAAAGAAAAGAUGGGACUCUCAGCUCUGUUCUGCUGGUCUCCUCAGAAACCACUGUGUCCAUGUAUGACUAAAAAUGCCUCUCAGUUAUUUUCCAACAGUGCGGCAAAUGCGAGGAAAUUAACUAUGGUUUGACAUUAUGGUUAGUCUUUUUUUUUUUUUUCAAAUUUGUCAAUGGAAAUUUUCACAGGUACACAAAGAUAGAGUUAGCGUAAUACACCUCAAUGUUCCCAUCCCCCAGUUUUUCGACUUGUAAUCAACACAUGGCUUUUCUCAUUUCUUUUAUACCUUCACCCACCUUUUUCUUACUCCCUUCUUGGAUUAUUUUACAGCAAGACCUAGAUCCUGUAUUAUUUUAUCUAUAAAUACUUUUUAAUAUAUCUCUAAAUGAUAAUACCUUUUAAAAACUUAACCCUAGUGGUAUUAUUACACCUUGAAAAAGCACAGUCAUCCCUAAAUAUCUCCUGUCAUCCAAAUAUCCAAAUGGUGUUUAACUUUCCUUCGAUGUCUCAAUUUCUUUCUUUCUUUCUUUUUUUUUUUUUUUUUUGAAAACAGCCAGUUGGUUUGAGUCAGGCUCCAAACAAGAUCCUCAUGUUUCAUUUAGUUGAUGACAAAUCUUCAAGGCUCUGUUAAUAAAGAUUAUGGUCAUUCUUAAAAGAAUUUAUGUUUUGCAAUUCUACCUUUUAGAUUUACUUAGCUACCCACGAUUCUUCCCAGUCAGCUGCCAUCAACAGCUUCCUGAGUUUUGUUAGAUGAUUUUUAUGAUUUUGAGCAUUUUUUCAUGAUCCCUCUUGCCUUUAUGGUUUAAUGUAGCUAGUCAUUUUUCCCUUCCUUCAGUAGAUGUUUCUUGGGAGCCUGCUCUGUUUCAGGAGCUGUACUGGACACUGGGCCUACACCUGUGAAAAGGACAGACAGGGCCCAACUCCUGGAGCUUACAGUUUGACCACAGGAGAGCUGCUGCUUGGCAGUUUUCCCCGUGCGUUCACCCCAGCUGAGCAGUGUGACCACAACCGUCACUUCUGUGCAGGCAGACCUGCCACGUUUUUAUAGCUUGGUGUUCAUGCUCUCAUGCUGUCAUUUUAUGUGGUUGACAAAGGUGCGCCUAGAAUGUUCAAGAAGCCAGGCAUGGCUUCUGUGGCAGGCCUGUGUCUCAUAGCCACACGACCCGGCAUUCUAACUGUGGUGCUGCUUGGGCCUUGUGUGUAUCCAUGUAACACUUUUGGGCUUGAGUGUGGAUAGCUCUGAAAGUUAAAAUGGAGAGCUUCCUGAAUUGGUGGAUUGUGGAGAGGCUAAAUGAACACGUUUAAAGAGGGGGGCUCUGAAUUGUUACAGGGCUUGGCAAAAGCCAAGUGUUGCUAAUAUGUUUGAGCAAAUUGGAUGUUUCUGUGGCUUUGUGGACUUCAGGUUGGUUUGGGGCUUUUGCCUGUUCCAGUUAGGCUACCUGCCAGCCUUUCAGAUGACAGGCCCACUUUCUUGAUUUGCUGUUCGUUGUGUAUUGGUUAGCCAGUCUGCCUCAGUAGCUAAAUAUGAUGAUACAAUUCAGGCCUGUCUUGCUGAUAAAACUUUUAACUGAUUUACAUUUCUUUAUGUAAGUAAAUAAUCAGACUCUGACUCCUGUGAUGCUCUGAUUUUGAGAAUGGUCCAUGAUUCUUCUUAUAUUUUUGCAUUUUCAGUUCAAAUGCAACUGUAUUGUAGUUACUGGAUUAUAGUGUCUGAGCCUUUAAAAAAAUCUUAGUUAAUAAAAGUAUAUUUUCAGAUAUAAAACCUAGUAUCCUUAUGAUACAUAUCUCCUUGUCACUGAAGGCAUGUUCAGCCUCUGAUGAUAUGUUUUGUUUUCUUUCAGUUAAGUGGUCUUUAAUCGUUUUGAUUGUGUGCCCAUAUCAGUUAAAACUUUUGAGCAAUUCCCCUUGUUUGUGUGUGUAUUUAUAAUUUAUAAAAAGUAGUGCUGUGCUAAAAUACAUUAUAGUAUUAUAAAACACAAAACAAAAGACUUCAAAUGGCUAGGAUAUAUUGUAUUCCCUACCUUCUUCCUAAAUGAACUCUUCAUGGUUCUGUCCGAGGGCAGCCUUCUACUUUGCCCUAAAUUUCAGUUACUCUCACAUAUUCGACAUUGCCCCAGCCUGUCCCCUCCUCCUUGCAUCACCACUUUUUCCCCCUGCUCGAUCGUUUCCAAAGGCUUUCUCAUCUUCAAAAAGUCUUCUUUGGUCACCUCUCCCAGCUACUGCCCCAUCAUCUGUCCCUCCAUAUUUUCAGUCCUUGCUGUGUUCACAUCCUCUCUUGACUCACACCACUCUGAUGAAAGUGCUCCUGGCAAGGUCCAUGGUAACUCCCAUGAUCCUGACUCUAGUGGUCACUUCUUCAUCUUCCUCACAGGAGCUCUUCAGUUUGGCACCGCUGAUCAUACCCUUUUCCUUGACGCUGUUUCUUCACUUGGCUUCCAGGGUGUGUAUUUCUGGCUUUCCAUCUGCCUAAUUGGCCAUUCCUUCUCGGCUUCUCAUCUCCCUGACCUCUAAACAUUAAAGGCCCUGGGCACCUCCUCUCUAUCUUCUCUCAUUCUGUCUGUGAUCCUCUCCUGUUGUAUGGCUUUUAAUACCAUCUAUAUGAGUGAUCUCCAGAGUUUGCUUCAGUGUAAUCCUGGGAGAUCAAUAAGAUUGACCAUGAGCUGAUCAUUGUUGAAGCUGGGUGAUGGGUACCUGGGGGUUUAUUAUACGGUUCUCUCUCAUUUUACUUAUGUUAGAAAUUGUCUUUCUUU
rnacentral:lncRNA from 1 species